GACAGAGGGGGCAAGCGUUGCUCGGAAUUACUGGGCGUAAAGGGCGCGUAGGCGGGAUGGCAAGUCGGUCGUGAAAUCCCUCGGCUCAACUGAGGAUCGUCGAUCGAUACUGCCGUUCUUGAGGAUUGCAGAGGUGACUGGAAUUCCCGGUGUAGCGGUGAAAUGUGUAGAGAUCGGGAGGAACACCGGUGGCGAAGGCGGGUCUCUGGGCAAUUCCUGACGCUGAGGCGCGAAAGCGUGGGGAGCAAACGGG
rnacentral:rRNA from 1 species